rnacentral:rRNA from 1 species
UGAGAUGUUGGGUUAAGUCCCGCAACGAGCGCAACCCUUGUCCUGUGUUGCCAUGUCGAAAGACGGAACUCGCAGGAGACCGCCAGGGAUAACCUGGAGGAAGGUGGGGAUGACGUCAAGUCCUCAUGGCCUUUAUGUCCAGGGCUACACACGUGCUACAAUGGACGGUACAAAGCGCAGCGAACUCGCGAGAGGGAGCCAAUCGCAAAAAACCGUUCUCAGUUCGGAUUGCAGGCUGCAACUCGCCUGCAUGAAGCUGGAAUCGCUAGUAAUGGCAGAUCAGCACGCUGCCGUGAAUACGUUCCCGGGCCUUGUACACACCGCCCGUCACAUCACGAAAGUGGGCCGUACUAGAAGCAGGUGUGCUAACCGCAAGGAGGCAGCCUUCCAAGGUACAGCUCAUGAUUGGGGUGAAGUCGUAACAAGGUAA